CUAACUUUAUUUAUAGUAUAUUAGUAGAAAAACGCUUUUAUGAAUCUCGUUGCGUUUUUAUUAUAUUGUUUAUAAUUGAAUGUUUCGGGUUAGCAAUAUAUAGUAGAAGUCAAAAGUACACCUCGUUUUCAAAACUAAUUUAAUUGCCGUAGUUUUAGUUUGUACGUUGUACGUUGUACUUUUGACUUCUACUUUAAGAUUUAUACUUAUAGCACAAAAUUAGCGUUGUACUUUUGGCUUCUAUUUAAGAUUUAUACUUGUAGUAUAAAACUAGUAAUGUACUUUUGACUUCUAUUUUAAGAUAUAUACUUACACUCUAAAAACAGUCCGUUAAGAAAAGUAACGGGUUGCGCUUUUUCGUUAAAUUAACGGAUUAAUUCGUUACCAAAAACUAGAAAAUUAACGGAGUAAAAUUAACUAUUUACGGAUUCUUUGAAAUUUCGUUAAUUCAACGGAUUAAAUAUUUUAAUCAGUGAAAAAAAAUUUUUCAGAAUAGCUUUUUAUUUUGAAAAUGAUAAAGUUUUGAAUGCGUUUGUCUCACAUUUACAUUUACAUCGUAGAUAAAAGUUGGUUGCAGUAAGUGUAAUGUGCCAUUUUUUAAAAAGCUUUACAUUUAGUAGACAAAGCAAAUGGAUAAGUAUAAUUUAAAUUACGCUCUGUUAUUUGUAAUUUCGAAGGUUAUUUAGAUUAUUUUAAAUUUUCUAUAUAAAGCUUUAUAUAGAAAAUUUAACAAUAAGGUUUAUUUUGUUUUAAAUUAAAAGCCAUUAGUAUUACUAAAUAAUAUAUAAUAACAUAUAUGGUAAGUUGAUACAUAUCAUAUAUGGUAAGUUACUACAUGUCUAAAUCUAGAAAAUUAUGCAAGAAUAUAUGCAAUCCAUAUAGUCUAUGUUAUAGAAAUAAAAGUUCAACUAAUCCUUUACUAGUAGUACAGGGUUAGUUGAACAAUUAUUUCUAUAAUAUAGACUAAAUGGAUUAUUUAUAGUCAUUUUUAACUUUAUAUUUUAGACAUAUGACAUGUAGUAACAUACCAUAUUAGUUUAAAUCAGUUGUAAAAUUAAAAAUGUUAACAUCUUUGAUAGGUAUAUUUAUUUAGUUUAGUUACAGCUAAGUUUACAUGGCUAGUUAAUUUGCUUUUAUAAACUGCAAUUUUAAUUAACUUCCAAAUUAAACAUGUGGCAUCCAAUAUCAUAAACUAAGUUUAUACUGGUGUGUUUAUAUUAUUUUAGAAUUUUUUGUUUUAGACACAUGGCAUUUGCUAUCCCACUACACGUGGCAUGUGGUAUCCCACUACACUUGGUAUGAGCUGUCAUACUGAAAGUUUAAAUUGGUUGUAAAAUUUAUAUUGUAACUUGCAUUUCUAUUGGCGUGCAUAUUUAUUUAGUUGAGUUUCAACUAUUAAUAAUAAUAAUAAAAAGUUUACAUCUGGUGUGUUUAUAUUAUUUUAGAAUUUGCUGUUUUAGACACGUGGCUUGUGAUAUCCCACUAAUUAGCUAUUUUAAACAUGUGACAAGUGGUAUGACACUGUAUUGAUGUAUGUGAAAUGUAUAGAGUCUUUCAGUUAUCAGAUAAUGUCAAGGAGUUGACAGCAUGGUGUCCUAUUUAAAGUGCGAACCUGUGUACGAGUAACAACAGUAUUCAAAACCAAAACCUAUUUAAACCAACCAAACCAAAACUAGCGACCAAAAACUAAUAUCUUGGCAUUGGUUUAUUUUAAACAUCUAUUAUAUAUAUGUGUGUGUUUUAUAUAAAUGUACUAGCUUGAGUAUAGUGUAUUAAAAAUAUUUUUUUUAACUAUUUUUAUUGUAAUUUAAAGUAUA